UACGUAGGGAGCAAGCGUUGUCCGGAAUUAUUGGGCGUAAAGAGCUCGUAGGCGGUCUGUCGCGUCUGCUGUGAAAACUCAGGGCUUAACCCUGAGCUUGCAGUGGGUACGGGCAGACUAGAGUGCGGUAGGGGAGACUGGAAUUCCUGGUGUAGCGGUGAAAUGCGCAGAUAUCAGGAGGAACACCGGUGGCGAAGGCGGGUCUCUGGGCCGUAACUGACGCUGAGGAGCGAAAGCAUGGGGAGCGAACAGG
rnacentral:rRNA from 1 species